CAUAUCUAGUAUCUGUCUAAAUACUUACUGAUUUCUCUUUAGCUAUAUGACAAGCUUGAGUGAGGGCAAAAGUCUCCAGGGCUUAAGCUGAUUUAUAGAGCUUAUCCUAAUAGAGCUGACUAAUAGGGGAAGGGGUCCCUAUUUUAGUGGUAUUAUUUUAUUUUAGUGGUAACAGCAGCGGCCGCAGCAGCACGACCUGGAUGCGGCUCCUGAGUCCCUUGCGCCCAGGGUCUGGCCGCUGGCUCCAACCGUCUUGCACCGCUUUGCUCUAUCCGUGCUCCGUUCGAACUCUGCAGUCCCCUUACCUGCUCCUCUCGGCCGAGGAGCCCCGGGGCGACAGGGUUCCCUUUCCGACUUUGCCUUUGCUGGCCCCGCUUGCACCCAGUCCCCCUCGCCUGGAGCGAGGCGCGCGCUGGUCUUGGUAACUGGCGCCGGGGCUGCCGCAGAGCCUUUCCACCGGCGGCCCGAGCGGAGGGCUGGGGUUGGGGAGGCGUUAGCGCGGCUUCCCGGCCCGGGGUUGGCGCCCGCCCGCCUAGGCCCGGAGCCCCCGAGCCGCGGCCCCCUCCCAGUGCAGAAUGGGACAUAUGAGCAGCCACAUUGCGGGAGGGGAAGGUCGGUAAGUAAGCCGUAACAGAUUGCUCCAGUUGCCUUAAACUAUGCACAAGGCUAAGUGACCAAACUUCUCGUUUUGAUUUAAAAAAAGUGCAUUGUUUUCUUGUCCCUCCCUUUGAUGAAACGUUACCCUUUGACCGGCCUUUUGAUGUGAACAGAUGUUUUCUAGGACAAACUAUAAGGACUAAUUUUAAACUUCAAACAAUCCACUUUUGUAAUUUGUUUUAAAUUAUUUUAUGUAUAGUAAGCACAACUGUAAUCUAGUUUUAAGAGAAACCAGUGCUUUCUUUUAGUUCUUUUGUAAUUCCCUUGUUACUGUAAAAGACUGUUUAUUAAUUAUGUUUACAGUUUGUUGCAACAGCCAUUUUCUUGGGGGAAAGCUUGAGUGUAAAGCCAUUUGUAAAAGCCUUUGCCAUACUCAUUUUAAUAUGUGCCUGUUGCUGUUAACUUUUGAUGAAUAAAAACCUAUCUUUUCACAUUUAAAAAAAAAAUAGGAGAAACACUGAAAACAGAUGAUGGAUUUUAGGAAGUAGAAGGCAUAAUGAAUCUCCUCUUCCAUAACUGAAGUAUACAAACAAAAGGAAACCAAACAUGAAAAGAAUAUUCAGAAUCCGGAGAAGGGGCUCAACUCAUAUCACAGAUUUAGAGCUAAGACACAGCUCUUUCUCCACAAAGGAUCACACAUACAGAGGGUGAAAGAAAACUGAUCCUUAGGUCAUGCUGACAUCCUUGAUGGCAUCCACAAGUUUGACUGGCCGAGGGACACAAACAGCUUUGAUCAUCAAGGAAAGCCCCCAACUACAUAAAAAGGAAGGUCAGAUUUGAGACUUUGACUCUCCCACCCUCAUACUUUGGCCAAACUGAAUAAGCCUUCCUAAGCAUUAAUGUCAUUGUUUGGCUUACUGUGCAUCGGGUAUGUGAACCUAACUUUUGGGGUUCUUACUACAGCAACUUGACUGAGCUAAUCAGUUACAGACAAGAAAAGCUGAGCUACAUUAUCUCCUUAAGAUCAGGGUCCAGACGUUGUUCAUAGAUGAGAAAAUAGAAAAUAACGUGUGCAACAUCAGACAUUCAAUGACACAAAUCCUCAAAAUCAGGUAUUUUAAAAAAUGAAGCCAAUGGUGGGGCAUGAUGCUCAUUCAUGUCUGUAAUCCCAGCACUUGAGGCCAGGGCAGGAGGAUUGCUUGAGCUCCGAAGUUCAAGACCAGGACAAUAAAGUGAGACCUUAUCUCUACCAAAAAUUUAAAAAUAAAUAAAUAAAUAAACCUGAAAUGAAGCCAAGUUGCUCAAGCAGUCAUCAAGUAUUUACUAAGGCUUACUAUGUGUUAUGAUAUUGAAACAAUUCUUUGAGCCAGCAAAGGCUUCUGGCUUCCUCUGCAAGUAAAAAUAAUUACGCUCCCAAAUGAUCUGUCUGUGUGUUCCACAGGUAUAGCAGCAGAAGAGGCAACUCAGAAAAAGCGAAGAUAGGCCCAGGCACAGUGGCUCAUGCCUGUAAUCCCAACACUUUGGGAGGCUGAGGUGAAUGGAUUUGCUUGAGCUAAGGGCAACAUGGCAAAACCCGGUCUACAGAAAAAAUUAGCCAGACAUGGUAUCCAUCCACACCUGUAGCCUCCAGCUACUAGGGAGGCUGAGGUGGGAGGAUCACUUGAGCCCAUGAGACAGAGCUUGCAGUGAGCUUAGAUGGCACCACUGCACUCCAGCCUGGGUGACAGAGCAAGACCCUGUCUCGGGUCAGGGAGUGGCGGGGGGAAAGGGAUAAACCACAACUCCACUGUAAGAGGCAACUGGAGAAAGAUCCCAGGAGGCUGUAUUCAACAGUGGAGCAAUAACAACACAGUACUCUUGCCAGAUAUCCUCAGGCUUUAAAUCGACAUAAUUCCACUCUGUUCAUCAAGUAACCCUUACAAUCUAUAAAAGUUUUCAAGUUUUCCGGACAGUUCUACGCAACUGAUGACAACGACACUGCCAGAUAAAUUACUCACUAUAAUUUAUGAAGUCAGCAAUCUGGCUUAUCAGUCAGUCUCUCUUGCUCAAUUGGCAAUACACUCCAGCCUGGGUGACAGAGCGGGAUUCCACCUCAAAACAAAACAAAGAAAACAUACUAUUAAUUACAUAUAGUGACCUGGUUCUAAAGGAAUUAUCUCCUAUGUCGAUUUUAAUAGAAAUUUUGAACAGUUAUAAACAAUAGCCAGGCGCGGUGGCUCACACCUGUAAUCCCAGCACUUUGGGAGGCUGAGGCAGGUGGAUCACCUGAGGUCAGGAGUUCGAGACCAGCCUGACCAAUAUGGUGAAACCCUGUCUUUAAAAAAAAAAGAAAGAAAAGAAAAAAAAGAUAUCACUUGGGUCAAUAACAGAACAUAAUAAAAACAAUAAAAAUUUCAUAUAUAAGCACACAUAUCACAAUUCUAGUCAGAAAGAAAUACAUAGAAAAACAAGAUAGAAUUUUAAAAAAUAAUUUGCAAGGGAAAUUCUUAAUGUUUCAGUUCUAAAAUAUGGUCUUCCUUUAGAAAUAUAUGACUGAAAUAACAGACUUUUUUUCCUGCAGUACUGUAAUUACUGCAGAUUUAUCAGUUGAGGUAAACAGCAAUUUAAUUUUUCCUUAAGCUUGAACACAGAAGGGAACAAUAAAGACACCUCAUUAGACCUGAUCUAAUUAAAGUCACACCUGUAAUCUUCAGGCCAGCUCGGGUCUCCAGGUGCUAUUCCAGGACAGGUCUGUAUCACUGGGUCCAUUCCCAACAGGCUGGAUAGGAUAGUUCGGAGUAACUGUCAGGACACCACCUGCUUCUCUCCUGGGCUGCUCGACUGGCAUUUGGCUUCACAUUCCAAGUGUACCUCCUGUGUGAAUAAUCUUCUCCAGAGGGACCAGGAGGAGGGAUAUGGCCUCUCUGGUAAACAUCUGGAUUCUGUGAAAAUGUUCUUAAAGCAAAACAAAAAGUAAUAAGCCAUUACUAGGAUUAACAAAAUAAUUUUUAUUUUAAAUUUGUAUUUUUAUAUAUUUUAAAUUCAUAAAUCUACAAAAUAAUAUACA